AUAGAAAAAGAGGAAGUCAAAUGACCUAAUGUCUCUUGCUGAUGGUAUAAUUCUGUAACUAUAAAACCCUAAAGAUUCCACUAAAAGACUCCUAGACCUUAUAAAUGACUUCAAACGUGCAAGCUGACAACCAAAUCAAGAACACAAUCCUAUUUACAAUAGACACACACAAACACACACACACACAAACCUAUGAAUACAUUUAACCAAGGAG
rnacentral:lncRNA from 1 species